rnacentral:rRNA from 1 species
AGCAGCCGCGGUAAUUCCAGCUCCAAUAGCGUAUAUUAAAGUUGUUGCAGUUAAAAAGCUCGUAGUUGAAUUUCGGGGUUAGUAAGUUGGUCAUGCCUUCGGUAUGUACUGGCUUUACUGAUUCCUCCUUCUUGACGAACCGUGAUGUCAUUAAUUUGGUGUUGCGGGAAAUCAGGACUGUUACUUUGAAAGAAUUAGAGUGUUUAAAGCAGGCUAACGCUUGAAUACAUUAGCAUGGAAUAAUGAAAUAGGACGUUAAUCCUAUUUUGUUGGUUUCUAGGAUCGACGUAAUGAUUAAUAGGGAUAGUUGGGGGCAUUAGUAUUCAAUUGUCAGAGGUGAAAUUCUUGGAUUUAUUGAAGACUAACUACUGCGAAAGCAUUUGCCAAGGAUGUUUUCAUUAAUCAAGAACGAAAGUUAGGGGAUCGAAGACGAUCAGAUACCGUCGUAGU